AUAUCUCUCUGUACGGGAAGGAUGAGAAGCUUCGACUAAGGUUCGAUUCGAGCGCAGCGAGAAAGCGUUGCCGCAGGCAACGACCCGAAGGGCGAAGCGCGAAGCGCUGAGUAAUCCUUCCCCCACCACCA
rnacentral:sRNA from 1 species